GGUUUGGUCGCGGAUUUGU
rnacentral:miRNA from 1 species